rnacentral:rRNA from 1 species
GGUUAAGCGACUAAGCGUACACGGUGGAUGCCCUGGCAGUCAGAGGCGAUGAAGGACGUGCUAAUCUGCGAAAAGCGUCGGUAAGGUGAUAUGAACCGUUAUAACCGGCGAUGUCCGAAUGGGGAAACCCAGUGCAAUUCGUUGCACUAUCGUUAACUGAAUACAUAGGUUAACGAGGCGAACCGGGGGAACUGAAACAUCUAAGUACCCCGAGGAAAAGAAAUCAACCGAGAUUCCCCCAGUAGCGGCGAGCGAACGGGGAGCAGCCCAGAGUCUGAAUCAGCUUGUGUGUUAGUGGAACGGUCUGGAAAGUCCGACGGUACAGGGUGAUAGUCCCGUACACCAAAAUGCACAGGCUGUGAACUCGAAGAGUAGGGCGGGACACGUGGUAUCCUGUCUGAAUAUGGGGGGACCAUCCUCCAAGGCUAAAUACUCCUGACUGACCGAUAGUGAACCAGUACCGUGAGGGAAAGGCGAAAAGAACCCCGGCGAGGGGAGUGAAAAAGAACCUGAAACCGUGUACGUACAAGCAGUGGGAGCACCUUCGGGUGUGACUGCGUACCUUUUGUAUAAUGGGUCAGCGACUUAUAUUCUGUAGCAAGGUUAACCGUAUAGGGGAGCCGCAGGGAAACCGAGUCUUAACUGGGCGUUAAGUUGCAGGGUAUAGACCCGAAACCCGGUGAUCUAGCCAUGGGCAGGUUGAAGGUUGGGUAACACUAACUGGAGGACCGAACCGACUAAUGUUGAAAAAUUAGCGGAUGACUUGUGGCUGGGGGUGAAAGGCCAAUCAAACCGGGAGAUAGCUGGUUCUCCCCGAAAGCUAUUUAGGUAGCGCCUCGUGAAUUCAUCUUCGGGGGUAGAGCACUGUUUCGGCUAGGGGGUCAUCCCGACUUACCAACCCGAUGCAAACUACGAAUACCGAAGAAUGUUAUCACGGGAGACACACGGCGGGUGCUAACGUCCGUCGUGAAGAGGGAAACAACCCAGACCGCCAGCUAAGGUCCCAAAGUCAUGGUUAAGUGGGAAACGAUGUGGGAAGGCACAGACAGCCAGGAUGUUGGCUUAGAAGCAGCCAUCAUUUAAAGAAAGCGUAAUAGCUCACUGGUCGAGUCGGCCUGCGCGGAAGAUGUAACGGGGCUAAACCAUGCACCGAAGCUGCGGCAGCGACACUAUGUGUUGUUGGGUAGGGGAGCGUUCUGUAAGCCUGCGAAGGUGUGCUGUGAGGCAUGCUGGAGGUAUCAGAAGUGCGAAUGCUGACAUAAGUAACGAUAAAGCGGGUGAAAAGCCCGCUCGCCGGAAGACCAAGGGUUCCUGUCCAACGUUAAUCGGGGCAGGGUGAGUCGACCCCUAAGGCGAGGCCGAAAGGCGUAGUCGAUGGGAAACAGGUUAAUAUUCCUGUACUUGGUGUUACUGCGAAGGGGGGACGGAGAAGGCUAUGUUAGCCGGGCGACGGUUGUCCCGGUUUAAGCAUGUAGGCUGGUUGUCCAGGCAAAUCCGGAUAAUCAAGGCUGAGGUGUGAUGACGAGGCACUACGGUGCUGAAGUAACAAAUGCCCUGCUUCCAGGAAAAGCCUCUAAGCAUCAGGUAACAUUAAAUCGUACCCCAAACCGACACAGGUGGUCAGGUAGAGAAUACCAAGGCGCUUGAGAGAACUCGGGUGAAGGAACUAGGCAAAAUGGUGCCGUAACUUCGGGAGAAGGCACGCUGGUGUGUAGGUGAAGCCCCUGCGGGUGGAGCUGAGACCAGUCGAAGAUACCAGCUGGCUGCAACUGUUUAUUAAAAACACAGCACUGUGCAAACACGAAAGUGGACGUAUACGGUGUGACGCCUGCCCGGUGCCGGAAGGUUAAUUGAUGGGGUUAUCCGUAAGGAGAAGCUCUUGAUCGAAGCCCCGGUAAACGGCGGCCGUAACUAUAACGGUCCUAAGGUAGCGAAAUUCCUUGUCGGGUAAGUUCCGACCUGCACGAAUGGCGUAAUGAUGGCCAGGCUGUCUCCACCCGAGACUCAGUGAAAUUGAACUCGCUGUGAAGAUGCAGUGUACCCGCGGCAAGACGGAAAGACCCCGUGAACCUUUACUAUAGCUUGACACUGAACAUUGAGCCUUGAUGUGUAGGAUAGGUGGGAGGCUUUGAAGCGUGGACGCCAGUCUGCGUGGAGCCAACCUUGAAAUACCACCCUUUAAUGUUUGAUGUUCUAACGUUGGCCCCUGACCGGGGUUGCGGACAGUGUCUGGUGGGUAGUUUGACUGGGGCGGUCUCCUCCCAAAGCGUAACGGAGGAGCACGAAGGUUAGCUAAUCCUGGUCGGACAUCAGGAGGUUAGUGCAAUGGCAUAAGCUAGCUUGACUGCGAGCGUGACGGCGCGAGCAGGUGCGAAAGCAGGUCAUAGUGAUCCGGUGGUUCUGAAUGGAAGGGCCAUCGCUCAACGGAUAAAAGGUACUCCGGGGAUAACAGGCUGAUACCGCCCAAGAGUUCAUAUCGACGGCGGUGUUUGGCACCUCGAUGUCGGCUCAUCACAUCCUGGGGCUGAAGUAGGUCCCAAGGGUAUGGCUGUUCGCCAUUUAAAGUGGUACGCGAGCUGGGUUUAGAACGUCGUGAGACAGUUCGGUCCCUAUCUGCCGUGGGCGCUGGAGAAUUGAGGGGGGCUGCUCCUAGUACGAGAGGACCGGAGUGGACGCAUCACUGGUGUUCGGGUUGUCAUGCCAAUGGCACUGCCCGGUAGCUAAAUGCGGAAGAGAUAAGUGCUGAAAGCAUCUAAGCACGAAACUUGCCCCGAGAUGAGUUCUCCCUGAGACUUUAAGUCUCCUGAAGGAACGUUGAAGACGACGACGUUGAUAGGCCGGGUGUGUAAGCGCAGCGAUGCGUUGAGCUAACCGGUACUAAUGAACCGUGAGGCUUAACCUU